CCUACGGGUGGCAGCAGUGGGGAAUAUUGGACAAUGGGGGGAACCCUGAUCCAGCCAUGCCGCGUGUGUGAAGAAGGCCCUCGGGUUGUAAAGCACUUUCAGUGAGGAAGAACGCCUGGUGGUUAAUACCCAUCAGGAAAGACAUCACUCACAGAAGAAGCACCGGCUAACUCCGUGCCAGCAGCCGCGGUAAUACGGAGGGUGCGAGCGUUAAUCGGAAUUACUGGGCGUAAAGCGCGCGUAGGUGGCUUGAUAAGCCGGUUGUGAAAGCCCCGGGCUCAACCUGGGAACGGCAUCCGGAACUGUCAAGCUAGAGUGCAGGAGAGGAAGGUAGAAUUCCCGGUGUAGCAGUGAAAUGCGUAGAGAUCGGGAGGAAUACCAGUGGCGAAGGCGGCCUUCUGGACUGACACUGACACUGAGGUGCGAAAGCGUGGGUAGCAAACAGGAUUAGAUACCCUAGUAGUC
rnacentral:rRNA from 1 species